GAGCUCAGUCGGUAGAGCAGGGGAUUGAAAAUCCCCGUGUCCUUGGUUCGAUUCCGAGUCCGGGCACCA
rnacentral:tRNA from 1 species